rnacentral:rRNA from 1 species
GAUGAACGCUGGCGGCGUGCCUAAUACAUGCAAGUCGAGCGAACGGACGAGAAGCUUGCUUCUCUGAUGUUAGCGGCGGACGGGUGAGUAACACGUGGAUAACCUACCUAUAAGACUGGGAUAACUUCGGGAAACCGUAGCUAAUACCGGAUAAUAUUUUGAACCGCAUGGUUCAAAAGUGAAAGACGGUCUUGCUGUCACUUAUAGAUGGAUCCGCGCUGCAUUAGCUAGUUGGUAAGGUAACGGCUUACCAAGGCAACGAUGCAAAGCCGACCUGAGAGGGUGAUCGGCCACACUGGAACUGAGACACGGUCCAGACUCCUACGGGAGGCAGCAUUAGGGAAUCUUCCGCAAUGGGCGAAAGCCUGACGGAGCAACGCCGCGUGAGUGAUGAAGGUCUUCGGAUCGUAAAACUCUGUUAUUAGGGAAGAACAUAUGUGUAAGUAACUGUGCACAUCUUGACGGUACCUAAUCAGAAAGCCACGGCUAACUACGUG